ensembl:ncRNA T04F8.14 ncRNA
GGUUAGGAGGGCUAACAAAUUGCUGCAUACAGUUUUUAGCGCAUGCGCCGCAUUCUCUCAUUCACUUAUUGGCACACGGGAAUGAAAUAGAGAGUGUGCAACGACUUGGUGGGUGAGAACAUUUGAAGGAUGAACUUUUUUUUUGAAUAGAGUUAGGUAAGAGUAACUUGCUACAAAAAGAAAUAUGUCAAGUUCACGGGAAUCGGAGUGCGAGACAAUGAUUGCCUU